AUGAAAUCAUUUUCCCUCUCUAUUAAAGACUCCAACAAUCUUGCACCUCCCUCCUCCUCUUUCCCUCGUCAGACCACCACCACCAACUCCUCCCUCUCUCGUCGAUCCCUCUGGCGACCUCUCCCUUUACACGCUCCUCUUCACCGUCCAUCUCUUCUCGGCGCGACCUCCCUCCGGCGACAACUUUCGUUCGGGUUCCUCCUUUCAUCUGGCGUAACCUCCCUCCAUCCGUGCUUCUUCUUUGUGGCUCUUCCUCCAGCUCUCCUCUGUGUCGCGCCUCCGCCGCCGCGCCCUUCCUCUUCUCCGGUGACGUUCUCCGUUCCAGACAACAUCACCUCUCAUUUUCAUCUUCUUCCUAUUUUCAAGAAUUGCUACAAGAGGUUACGACGAUUCCACAACUGUCGCAGAAACGUGUGUAGCAGGCCCUUUUGGCGACGGUUUAGAAAACUGUCGUUCCAACCGUCGUAG